AUUCCAGCUCCAAUAGCGUAUAUUAAAGUUGUUGUGGUUAAAAAGCUCGUAGUUGGAUCUCAACAGCCUUGAAGCGGUUAACUUUGUAGUUUUACUGCUUUAUAGGCUGUGCUUUUGCUGGAGGUUUAGGGGUGCUCUUGAUCGAGUGUCUCUGGAUGCCAGCAGGUUUACUUUGAAAAAAUUAGAGUGCUCAAAGCAGGCUAAAAUGCCUGAAUAUUCGUGCAUGGAAUAAUAGAAUAGGAUGUCGAUCCUAUUUUGUUGGUUUUCGGGACUCGACAUAAUGAUAAAUAGGGACAGUCGGGGGCAUUUGUAUUCAAACGACAGAGGUGAAAUUCUUGGACCGUUUGAAGACAAACUACUGCGAAAGCAUUUGCCAAGAAUGUUUUCAUCA
rnacentral:rRNA from 1 species